GACAGAGGGUGCAAGCGUUGUUCGGAAUCAUUGGGCGUAAAGCGCGCGUAGGCGGUGUUGCAAGUCGGAUGUGAAAGCCCAGGGCUCAACCCUGGAAGUGCAUCCGAAACUGCAAUACUCGAGUCCUGGAGAGGGCGGUGGAAUUCCUGGUGUAGAGGUGAAAUUCGUAGAUAUCAGGAGGAACAUCUGUGGCGAAGGCGACCGCCUGGACAGAGACUGACGCUGAGGUGCGAAAGCGUGGGGAG
rnacentral:rRNA from 1 species